rnacentral:rRNA from 1 species
CCAUAGUGUGCUNUGGAAACUGUCUGACUUGAGUGCAGAAGGGGAGAGUGGAAUNCCAUGUGUAGCGGUGAAAUGCGUAGAUAUAUGGAGGAACACCAGUGGCGAAAGCGGCUCUCUGGUCUGUCACUGACGCUGAGGCUCGAGAGCGUGGGUAGCGAACAGGAUUAGAUACCCUGGUAGUNCACGCCGUAAACGAUGAGUGCUAGGUGUUAGGCCCUUUCCGGGGCUUAGUGCCGGAGCUAACGCAAUAAGCACUCCGCCUGGGGAGUACGACCGCAAGGUUGAAACUCAAAGGAAUUGACGGGGGCCCGCACAAGCGGUGGAGCAUGUGGUUUAAUUCGAAGCAACGCGAAGAACCUUACCAGGUCUUGACAUCCCGAUGCUAUUCUUAGAGAUAGGAAGUUACUUCGGUACAUCGGAGACAGGUGGUGCAUGGUUGUCGUCAGCUCGUGUCGUGAGAUGUUGGGUUAAGUCCCGCAACGAGCGCAACCCUUAUUGUUAGUUGCCAUCAUUAAGUUGGGCACUCUAGCGAGACUGCCGGUAAUAAACUGGAGGAAGGUGGGGAUGACGUCAAAUCAUCAUGCCCCUUAUGACCUGGGCUACACACGUGCUACAAUGGUCGGUACAACGAGUUGCGAGCCGGUGACGGCAAGCUAAUCUCUGAAAGCCGAUCUCAGUUCGGAUUGGAGGCUGCAACUCGCCUCCAUGAAGUCGGAAUCGCUAGUAAUCGCGGAUCAGCACGCCGCGGUGAAUACGUUCCCGGGCCUUGUACACACCGCCCGUCACACCACGAGAGUUUGUAACACCCGAAGUCGGUGAGGUAACCUUUUAGGGGCCAGCCGCC